rnacentral:lncRNA from 1 species
UCUGCCAGAUGCCGGUGCCAUCUUGUAAUGGAGUUUGUGAGGACAACUCCUCACAUAUGUGAGGACAGCUCCUCGGACAGCUCCUCACAUCUCUGUGAGGACAGCUCCUCGGACAGCUCCUCACAAUGUUCCAUGUUUUUUGAAAAGGAUGAAGAUUUUCAAAGAUCAUUUUGAAGCAGCUCUCGGUGACUUUUGGUUCCAUAUCUUUCUUAAAUGUCUCUCUAUGGGAACUAAGCCUAUGGAACUGGCAAGUGAAGGCUGAUAUCUGGCUGCCACCCAGGCCAUCACCCAUUUAUAUCCCAGGGAUUUUCUAUGUUCCAACUGAUGAGCAUCCAUCAAUGAAAAACUGCCUAUUUUCUUAAUUUGAAAAUUAAGUACCAGCAGUCUUAAUUAACCUGGACCCCAAGAUCUCUCAGACACUGGAUUACCAAUCAGGAAGAAGGUCAUACACGUUUCCAUGUCAACUGGAGGACUGCCUUCAAAAUCACGUGAAGAUGCUUUGAGUGAAGGCAUGAUCAUAUUUCUAUCUGAACACUUAGUUUUUCCUUUUGGGGUCCUGCUCUCACAGAAUCAUUCCAGUCAUCACACUU